rfam:Planctomycetes bacterium RIFCSPHIGHO2_12_39_6 rifcsphigho2_12_sub10_scaffold_1305, whole genome shotgun sequence.
GCGCCCUUAGCUCAGUUGGUAGAGCAACUGACUCUUAAUCAGUGGGUCGAAGGUUCGAAUCCUUCAGGGCGCA